UACGUAGGGUGCAAGCGUUUGUCCGGAAUUAUUGGGCGUAAAGAGCUCGUAGGCGGUUUGUCGCGUCGAAUGUGAAAACCCGGGGCUCAACCCCGGGCCUGCAUUCGAUACGGGCAGACUAGAGUUCGGUAGGGGGAGUCUGGAAUUCCUGGUGUAGCGGUGAAAUGCGCAGAUAUCAGGAGGAACACCGGUGGCGAAGGCGGUUCUCUGGGCCUUACCUGACGCUGAGGAGCGAAAGCUGGGGGAGCGAACAGG
rnacentral:rRNA from 1 species